UACGUAGGGGGCUAGCGUUGUUCGGAAUCUGGCGUAAAGAGCGUGUAGGCGGCCAGGUAGGUCUGCUGUGAAAACUCGAGGCUCAACCUCGAGCUGUCGGCGGAAACCAUCUGGCUAGAGUCCGGAAGAGGAGAGUGGAAUUCCUGGUGUAGCGGUGAAAUGCGCAGAUAUCAGGAAGAACACCCGUGGCGGAAGGCGCU
rnacentral:rRNA from 1 species